rnacentral:rRNA from 1 species
UACAGAGGGUGCGAGCGUUAAUCGGAAUUACUGGGCGUAAAGCGUGCGUAGACGGUUAUCUAAGUCGGAUGUGAAAGCCCCCGGGCUCAACCUGGGAAUUGCAUUCGAGACUGAAUAGCUAGGGUGCGGUAGAGGGAAGCGGAAUUUCCGGUGUAGCGGUGAAAUUCGUAGAUAUUCGGAGGAACACCAGUGGCGAAGGCGACUCGCUGGACUGAUACUGACGCUGAGGUGCGAAAGCGUGGGGAGC